rnacentral:rRNA from 1 species
UGAGGAAUAUUGGUCAAUGGACGAGAGUCUGAACCAGCCAAGUAGCGUGCAGGAUGACGGCCCUAUGGGUUGUAAACUGCUUUUGUUUGGGAAUAAUCGACAUUACGUGUAAUGUUUUGCAUGUACCAUUCGAAUAAGGACCGGCUAAUUCCGUGCCAGCAGCCGCGGUAAUACGGAAGGUCCAGGCGUUAUCCGGAUUUAUUGGGUUUAAAGGGAGUGUAGGCGGUUGGUUAAGCGUGUUGUGAAAUGUAGAUGCUCAACAUCUGACUUGCAGCGCGAACUGGCUGCCUUGAGUACACACAACGUAGGCGGAAUUCAUGGUGUAGCGGUGAAAUGCUUCGAUAUCUUGAAGAACUCCGAUUGCGAAGGCAGCUUACGGGAGUGUUACUGACGAUUAAGCUCGAAGGUGCGGGUAUCGAACAGG